rnacentral:rRNA from 1 species
GAUGAACGCUGGCGGCGUGCCUAAUACAUGCAAGUCGUGCGGAAAGGCCUCUUCGGAGGUACUCGAGCGGCGGACGGCAGAGUAACGCGUAGGAACAUACCCCAAACUGAGGGAUAACUGCCCGAAAGGGUGGCUAAUACCGCAUGUGAUCUUCGGAUUAAAGCUUCGGCGGUUUGGGAAUGGCCUGCGUUCGAUUAGCUAGUUGGUGAGGUAAAGGCUCACCAAGGCGACGAUCGAUAACUGGUCUGAGAGGAUGAUCAGUCUGACUGGAACUGAGACACGGUCCAGACUCCUACGGGAGGCAGCAGUAGGGAAUUUUCCACAAUGGGCGAAAGCCUGAUGGAGCAACGCCGCGUGCAGGAUGAAGGCCCUCGGGUCGUAAACUGCUUUUAUGUGAGAAGAAUAUGACGGUAACACAUGAAUAAGGGUCGGCUAAC